AGAGCACUACAAGCAACUGCUGCCAUGAGCAAGAUCCCAGCCCACAAGGAAAGGUCUGCCCUAUAGAUCAUCCUGUACCAGAGAUCUACAGCAUAAUGGCCUGGAAGCAGUCUUUGUUUUGGAGCCAAGCCCAGCAAAGUCUCAAUUCCUUCCCCUUCAAUCGCCAUCUGGAUGAACAAGGCCAAGUCAUUGACCUUCUCUGGGCCUCAGUUUCCUCACCCAUAAACUGGAGCAAAGUCAUCUCCAAGACAGCAGGAACCAUGUUUACUCUUUAAUCAUUGUAUGCUCCCUAAAUAUUUGCUGAACAAGUGAACAAAAAACCUGGUGGUGGUGAAAUUAGACUCCUUCUUGGUGUCACCAGGAGGUCCAGUUAAACAUACCAAGACUUGAGGAAUUAUGUCCAAGGUUCCAGCAUUGAACAUGAAGAACGCAGGAUUUAUUGGCACGUCGUGAUAACCGUAAAGCCCACGCUUCUACUGCAGUGUUGAGUUUGCGUGCCCUUGGGACAGAAGACAGAAUAGAGGCUGAGAAAAUUGCUUGUUGGAAGAAUGAAUCCUGGGUCUGCUAUUACAAGAAACUUCUCAACUUCUAGCCUUAUCUCUCACCACUCCUUCCUUAGAUCCUAAGAUUCAACCAUCCCUGACAUCAACACACCAUGUCCUGUGCUUUGUGCCACCUGUUUACCUUUGUACAUGGCAUUCCCACGUGGUAGAAUCUCGCUCCCAUACAAUCUGUUAUACUUGGAACCCCCUUCCUUUAUUCUCAAAACGUAAUUCCCUUUGAGAAAGUUUCUCUGACGUUUUCCUGACAAUGAACCAAUCCUUCCUCCAU
ensembl:lncRNA novel transcript